AUCUUCGAGGCGGGGUGUAAUUCCCCACCGGCGGUAUAGUCCGCAAGCCAAUCUGGCAUGAUACGGUGAGAUUCCGUAACCGACGGUAUAGUCCGGAUGAUAGAGGAUA
rnacentral:ncRNA from 1 species